rnacentral:rRNA from 1 species
AUUGAACGCUGGCGGCAUGCCUUACACAUGCAAGUCGAACGGCAGCACGGGUGCUUGCACCUGGUGGCGAGUGGCGAACGGGUGAGUAAUACAUCGGAACAUGUCCUGUAGUGGGGGAUAGCCCGGCGAAAGCCGGAUUAAUACCGCAUACGAACUACGGAUGAAAGCGGGGGACCUUCGGGCCUCGCGCUAUAGGGUUGGCCGAUGGCUGAUUAGCUAGUUGGUAGGGUAAAGGCCUACCAAGGCGACGAUCAGUAGCUGAUCUGAGAGGACGACCAGCCACACUGGAACUGAGACACGGCCCAGACUCCUACGGGAGGCAGCAGUGGGGAAUUUUGGGCAAUGGGCGAAAGCCUGACGCAGCAACGCCGCGUGUGUGAAGAAGGCCUUCGGAUUGUAAAGCACUUUUGUCAGGAAAGAAAUCCUUUGCCCUAAACCGGUCGGGGGUUGACGGUACCGGAACAGAAAGCCCCGGCUAACUACGUG